AGUGAACGCUGGCGGUAGGCCUAACACAUGCAAGUCGAACGGCAGCACAGUAGGAGCUUGCUCUUACGGGUGGCGAGUGGCGGACGGGUGAGGAAUACAUCGGAAUCUACUUUUUCGUGGGGGAUAACGUAGGGAAACUUACGCUAAUACCGCAUACGACCUACGGGUGAAAGCAGGGGAUCUUCGGACCUUGCGCGAUUGAAUGAGCCGAUGUCGGAUUAGCUAGUUGGCGGGGUAAAGGCCCACCAAGGCGACGAUCCGUAGCUGGUCUGAGAGGAUGAUCAGCCACACUGGAACUGAGACACGGUCCAGACUCCUACGGGAGGCAGCAGUGGGGAAUAUUGGACAAUGGGCGCAAGCCUGAUCCAGCCAUACCGCGUGGGUGAAGAAGGACUUCGGGUUGUAAAGCCCUUUUGUUGGGAAAGAAAAGCAGCAGGUUAAUACCCCGCUGUUCUGACGGUACCAAAAGAAUAAGCACCGGCUAACUUCGUG
rnacentral:rRNA from 1 species